UGCGUAGGCGGACCCGAAGGUGCAUCGUGAAAUCCCCCGGCUCAACCGGGGAAUUGCGGUGCAUACCACGGGUCUUGAAGUAAGUAGGGGCUGUCGGAACGCUCGGUGGAGCGGUGAAAUGCGUAGAUAUCGAGCGGAACGCCGAAGGUGUAGACAGGCAGCUAGGCUUAUCUUGACGCUGAGGCACGAAAGCGUGGGGAUCAAACA
rnacentral:rRNA from 1 species